GCGGGAAUCCAAACGGGAAAGCCAUAUCCGUAUUGGCAACGCAUUCGUAAUGCGUAGGUCCGCAGUUCGGGUCUGCGUUCCGGCACCA
rnacentral:tRNA from 1 species